rnacentral:rRNA from 1 species
GAUGAACGCUGACAGAAUGCUUAACACAUGCAAGUCAACUGUGGCGGACGGGUGAGUAACGCGUAAAGAACUUGCCUAACAGUUAGGGACAACAUUUGGAAACGAAUGCUAAUACCUGAUACUGUGAGAGAGCUUUGCGUCCCAUUAGCUAGUUGGAGAGGUAACGGCUCACCAAGGCGAUGAUGGGUAGCCGACCUGAGCGGGUGAUCGGCCACAAGGGGACUUAGACACGGCCCUUACUCAUACGGGGGGCAUCAGUGGGGAAUAUUGGCCAAUGGACCAAAGUCUGAUCCAGCAAGUCUGUGUGUACGAUGAAGUUUUCUGAAUGUAAGGUGAUUUCAGUUGGGAGGCGGUACCAACAGAAGAAGUGACGGCUAAAUACGUGCCAGCAGCCGCGGUAAUAC